rnacentral:rRNA from 1 species
GAUGAACGCUGGCGGCGUGCUUAACACAUGCAAGUCGAACGGUGAACGAGGGAGCUUGCUCCCUCCGGAUCAGUGGCGAACGGGUGAGUAACACGUGGGCAAUCUGCCCCGAACUCUGGGAUAAGCGCUGGAAACGGCGUCUAAUACCGGAUACGACGCGCGAAGGCAUCUUCUGCGCGUGGAAAGAAUUUCGGUUCGGGAUGAGCUCGCGGCCUAUCAGCUAGUUGGUGAGGUAACGGCUCACCAAGGCGACGACGGGUAGCCGGCCUGAGAGGGUGACCGGCCACACUGGGACUGAGACACGGCCCAGACUCCUACGGGAGGCAGCAGUGGGGAAUAUUGCACAAUGGGCGAAAGCCUGAUGCAGCAACGCCGCGUGAGGGACGACGGCCUUCGGGUUGUAAACCUCUUUUAGUAGGGAAGAAGCGAAAGUGACGGUACCUGCAGAAAAAGCACCGGCUAACUACGUGCCAGCAGCCGCCGUAAAAC